AGGUCCUGCCUGCCCAGUGACUAUGUUAAACGGCCGCGGUAUUUUGACCGUGCAAAGGUAGCGCAAUCACUUGUCUUUUAAAUGAAGACCUGUAUGAAUGGUGGAACGAGGGCCUAACUGUCUCCCUUUUCAAGUCAAUGAAAUUGAUCUACCCGUGCAGAAGCGGGUAUACAAAUACAAGACGAGAAGACCCUUUGGAGCUUAAGAUUAAAAAUCAACUAUGUCAAAUAUUCAUCAAAUAGAACUAAAUAGCACUUGACAUAAUCUUCGGUUGGGGCGACCACCGAAUAAAAACAAACUUCCACAUGGACUGAGGACUAACCUUAAAACCAAGAAAAACAUUUCUAAGUCACAGAAUUUCUGACCACACACAUCCGGCAAAUUGCCGAUCAAUGGACCAAGUUACCCUAGGGAUAACAGCGCAAUCCCCUUUUAGAGUUCCUAUCGACAAGGGGGUUUACGACCUCGAUGUUGGAUCAGGAC
rnacentral:rRNA from 1 species